CGCUGCCGGCAGGGCUUGGGGGCGCCUUAGAGCCGAACCCCGUUUUUUCAGGAAAGGGCGCUGCGACCACCCCCGUCCCGGGCCUCAGCCCCUCUGCUGCAGACCCUCGGGAUCGUCGCUGGAAAGAUUCUGAAGCUUGGCGGAGAGGGGUGUGUGAGUGGACACCAGUGAAGUAACGGUUUUUGUGUUACGAUGAUUUCUGUUUUCCUCUGCUGCCCUGUAAUGGCAGGAACUCGGAUAGUCUGGUCUUCAGACCAGGAGGACUCCCAGGAGAGAACGGAGAGCCAGUGUGCUGUGUGUCACGGUCCCUGGAUGAACGUUUGUGGAACUGGAUUGAAUUAAACAAGACGUGCAAAGCAAGUGGUUCACGAGAUUCGAUUGCUGUAGGGACCCCGUGGGUGUGGAAUCAGACAGUAUUGGUCCUUUCAUGACUGGCUUAUUUCACAAAACCCGAUGCCGUCGAGGUCCAUCCAUGCUGAGGC
rnacentral:lncRNA from 10 species